AUCUCCACCCAUCACUUCUUUUCCUACCAUAGAGUUCGGAGGGAUGCUGGCUAGUCAGUGUAUCGGCGAGAACCCCGGAAGCGGCUGCGUUUGGGGUGGCUCCUCGCGCGGGUGGCAUAAGGCGGCGGGCGGCAAGAUGGCGGAGUUUGCCAACGCAACCCGUGAGGUCAUCAAUGUCACCCUCCGCACCACUCUGGCUGCUACCACCAAGCUGGUGAUGCCUACACCUGCCAAACCCAUUCUUCCCGUUCAGACUGGAGUCCAGGCACAGCAAGAGGAGCAAUCCAGUGGCAUGACCAUUUUUUUUAGUCUUCUUGUAUUAGCUAUCUGCAUCAUAUUGGUGCAUUUACUGAUAAAAUACCGCCUUCAUUUUUUACCAGAAAGCGUAGCUGUUGUUUCCUUAGGUAUCCUUAUGGGAGCUUUUAUAAAAAUCAUAGAGGCUCAGAAGCUGGCCAACUGGAAGGAGGAAGAAAUGUUUCGUCCAAAUAUGUUUUUUCUGCUUUUGCUUCCACCUAUUAUAUUUGAGUCUGGAUAUUCAUUGCACAAGGGCAAUUUUUUUCAGAACAUAGGCUCCAUCACACUAUUUUCUGUAUUUGGCACAGCAAUAUCAGCUUUCAUAGUAGGUGGAGGAAUUUAUUUCCUGGGCCAGGCUGAUGUAAUUUAUAAACUCAACAUGACAGACAGUUUUGCAUUCGGCUCUUUAAUAUCUGCAGUCGAUCCUGUGGCUACUAUUGCCAUUUUCAAUGCCCUCAAUGUGGAUCCCGUACUUAACAUGCUGGUUUUUGGAGAAAGCAUUCUCAAUGAUGCAGUCUCUAUUGUCUUGACCAACACUGCAGAAGGUUUGACAAGAGAAAAUAUGUCAGAUGUAAGUGGAUGGCAAACUUUUCUACAGGCGCUGGGAUACUUUCUUAAGAUGUUCUUUGGCUCUGCAGCACUUGGAACACUUACUGGCCUUAUUUCUGCAUUAGUGCUAAAGCACAUUGAUUUAAGAAAGACGCCCUCUCUAGAGUUUGGGAUGAUGAUUAUCUUUGCUUACCUUCCUUAUGGACUUGCAGAAGGUAUCUCACUCUCAGGAAUCAUGGCAAUCCUGUUCUCUGGCAUUGUGAUGUCCCACUAUACGCACCAUAACCUCUCCCCUGUUACACAGAUAUUAAUGCAGCAGACACUGAGAACCGUUGCUUUCAUGUGUGAAACGUGUGUUUUUGCAUUUCUUGGCCUGUCUAUUUUUAGUUUUCCUCACAAGUUUGAGAUGUCCUUCGUCAUCUGGUGCAUAGUACUUGUUCUGUUUGGUAGAGCAGUGAAUAUUUUCCCCCUUUCCUACCUACUCAACUUUUUUCGUGAUCAUAAAAUCACCCCUAAAAUGAUGUUUAUCAUGUGGUUUAGUGGUUUACGUGGUGCAAUUCCCUAUGCACUCAGCCUCCAUUUGGGCUUGGAACCAAUAGAGAAGCGUCAGCUCAUUGGAACAACUACAAUCAUCAUAGUGCUGUUCACGGUUUUGCUGUUGGGAGGAGGAACUAUGCCCCUUAUCAGACUAAUUGACAUUGAAGACUCCAAAGCACGCAAGAGGAACAAAAAGGACAUUAAUCUUAGCAAGACAGAGAAAAUGGGAAAUACCAUAGAAUCCGAGCAUUUAUCAGAGCUCACAGAGGAGGAAUAUGAAGCCCAGUACAUAAAACGCCAGGACCUCAAAGGAUUUAUGUGGCUGGAUGCUAAGUAUUUGAAUCCUUUCUUCACCAGAAGACUCACACAAGAAGACUUGCAUCAUGGGCGCAUACAGAUGAAAACUCUCACAAACAAAUGGUAUGAAGAGGUACGACAAGGACCUUCGGGCUCUGAAGAUGAUGAGCAAGAGCUGCUGUAGCAGACCAGGGAAGAAGCACAGGGAGUAUAUUAUUGGACUUUAGAAAGUGAAUUUAAGUAUCAAGACCGUAACUGCACAAAAGCUUCUGAUUUGGGGCGUAUCUUGUUCUGUAUGUUUAAACAUCAAAAAGCAGAUCUCCUUUGCUUGGUAUUAUUAGUCAGUCACUGAUAGCCACUUAAGCGUCAGGCUCUGAACUGAAUGAAGAACUUUCCAGCUUUUACAUCACAGCAAAUUUAAUGCAGCCUGUGAAGAAUGUGGAAGCAUCUGCCAUGAAAUUGUUUAAUUGUUUAAUUGCUGCUUAAUGUGGGUCCUAGUACAAAGCCUGCUGUGAGUGUUUGAAGUACAGAGCCAUCAUAUGACUGCAAGAUAGGAUGAGUUGCAGCUUUUUUUUAUUUUCUUUGAAAAUAUACACCGAUUCACAUGGAGAGGCUUGAUAGUUUAAACUAUGAAUUUGUUUUAGCACUGGUAAGGGAGUCUGGCUGGGAUAAAUCCUUGAUUUAUGAGAGUUACAGGAUCAAAGAAUGAUUUGGGUUGGAAGAGACCUUAGAGAUCAUCCAGUUCCAACCUCCUCUGCCUUGGGCGCAUAGAAUUGCACAUUUUGAAUCCAGAGAAGAUCAUUGCCUUGACAAAUAGCAGAUGCUGCACACAAAGAAGAACUUCUUAAUACCUCCAUAUUUUUGUCAUAUGAAAUUGUCUUGGUAUCUAUUUAAUGGGAUGUUUUAUUUUUAUAUUCUGAGAUGUCGUCCUAAUCAGUACUGUGGGUUAGACAUGACUUGCAAGAGGUGUGGAUUGCAUGACAUUAAAACUGCAAUUUCAAAUGCAGUUCUGCAACACUUUUUUUAUUUUGCUAAAGGCAGUUGCAGUUGGUUUUCCCUGGUUCAAGUCUAAGAAAGCAACAGCUUUUCUUUUGCCUAAAUUCAGGAAGCAUUCCUAACACUCUGGAACUCACUAGCAGACUUCUUGAAUUCUAGUGGAAUCAAAAGCAACUCUUUCCCUGUCGUUGGUUUGAUGAAUUAAGUGUGUACAUGGGGAAGAAGGAGUCUACAAAAAUCUAAUGUAGAUAUGAAAGAGUCAUUUUUGGUCUGGUUUUGUUAUUAGGCUUUUUAAAAAUCAACUUCUGGGAAAAUGAAAGGCUAUUUGGAGUCUUAAACCUGUGCUGGCUAAGCAGUUCUCCAAAAUAACGUGUUAUAUGACCUGCUUUUCCGUAUUAUUACUGUUAUUUUGAAGAACUGUGCUCAUCCUAGAGCUGGAAAACACACUGGCCAAAGUCUGAAUGAGACGCAAAAUCAGCUUCUGGUAUUGACCAGAAAUGAAUUAAUGCUUGGUUUUCUCUUUAGAAGAGGAUCUGUAUUUUUCCUUCAUCCUUCUAGAUGACAGUGGAUUUCAUUACAUUUCAGUUACCCAUCAGUCUUAAAAUAGAGAUAUCAAGGAAAGUGCACAAGUUACAGUGCUGUGAAGGGUGGGAAUGUGUGUUCAGGUUCUGCGUUAUGUUUGUUCAGUGCAAUGAGGACUGUUAAAAAAUCUGCUCAGUGAGAAUCUCUGUGCUGUCAGUGCCAGCGGACUGAAGCCGCCAACUUCUGAGACUUGUUUGUCUGCUGGAGGCAAGCAUGUGUUAUCCGUCUUGUCUUUUUUUGUCCUGUACCAGCUGGGAACUUAGACAUGCAAGCCAGAAUGGGGAGCUGGUAAAGUUGUGCUGUCAUCAGGCUGACACUGACCUGUGUGGAUUCUUAUUCCUGCCCAGACCAGGAGGUUCUCUUCUCUGCAGGAGCUGUGCUUGAGUUUAAUGUUCCAGAUGCUAUUAUGCUAGACAUGGUGCUGUAUCAUAAUCAUGCUGAAAUAGCAAAGGUGCUCUCAUUGCUAUGGUUAUUCUGAAACGAGGCACCUGCAAAAGGAGUGAGGUCUGUACCAGCACGUCAACCAUAUCGAUUUCCAUUCGAGGUAAAGUGAUCGUUACUGCCCUCUGUUGGCAGUCAACGGUAACGGCGUGACAUCUCACGAUCGUAUGCUGAGAGUAGUUUAAUAAAUUAAAUGGAAGCAAUGAAUUGAUACAGCUAGAACGAAUGAAAUCACUCUGAAGCAAAUAAACCGAAGAAAACCUUGGGUCUUUUCAUUAAAAGAAACUAUGCUGAAAUUUAAGAAGCUUAGAUUUGUCAGAGCUUGGAAUGAAGUUGAGCACUUGCCUCAGCAACUCCAAUGUCCAGCAGAACAUGGAGCGCAGGAGUUACUGAGACAGAAGCUGUCCCUGGGAAGGGCUGGGAGCUCCAUUGCUCAACAUCUGCAGCCCACCUACAGCUCAGCCUUCACUGCAUGGGCACCAAACCCUGUCAAAGCCCCUGGGACAGCUCCAGCUCUGCAGCAGCAGCAGGCUCCCACUAAGCCACAACACAGUCCAGGUAUGCCAAAUCCUCCCAACUGGGGGCCUGUUUCCUGCCCAUCAUUCACCUCUGAACCCAAGGCAGGGUCAGCACCCCUGACCCACAAUAACAACUGGAUACUUCUGGAAGCAACAGUGAGUGCAAGAAGCCUGACCAACUUCGGCAGGCACUGGGCUGCCCACAGCUGGGGAAGAGCUGUAAGAACUAUCUGGCCUUAGCACAGAGCAAGUAGAGCAUGCCAGAAAUCAGGUCUUCCCUCUCUGAUAACACAGAGAUGAGCAGGGAGGCACUGCAUUUCCCAUCUGCAAAUUAGCAUACAAAUAAGAGUAUCCAGUAAAUGUGAUUUUAAUUUAAAUGUCAAUUCCAUCUUAUUGCUAAACUCAAAGAGGCUUCCAAGAAGCUGGACAGUGCAACAGCCUCCUUCCCCAGUGCAUUUAUUGGAUUUUGGUGAUGAGAGAGAUACAGCGCAGCUCUGAAGCAUUCCAUCCAUUCAUGAAGCUGCAGCAGGUUUCUCAAUCUUUCUCUGCCUUCUGUCAGAUCUUGUCCGUGGCUUCAAAUCUUCUCCAUAUUAUGCCAUGAUUCAUGAAGAAUAGGGGGGAGUGCUCAGAAUUUGUUUGAAGUCUUCUGCCUCGUUUUAUCUUAAGAAGGAUCAGCAAUAGUGAAUCUGGGCUUCAGUGGAAGACAGCUGGCUGCAAGAACACAGGCAAGGAGCUGAAGCUCUAGCUGAAGGGAGCAGGUGGAACUGAAUGCUGCAGAAUUUGUUAAAUAUGGGAAGAAAUCUGAGUGCUCUGAGCAAUCCCUGCUUUUAGAAACUCUUCACAGUGAUCCUCUUCCCUCCCUCCUUGUUCUUUCAGUGCCGGUUUGUUAGUCUCUGAUGUUUCAGUCUCAACAACUAGACUUUAACUCCAGGCCAAUGACUAGUAAAGUUACCUGGCAAUCCA